rnacentral:rRNA from 1 species
GGCGAAGCUGAUGCAGCAUGCGCGUGUGAAGAAGGCUGCGGGUUGUAAAGCACUUUCGGUAGGGAAGAUUAUGACGGUACCUACAGAAGAAGCACCGGCUAACUCCGUGCCAGCAGCCGCGGUAAUACGGAGGGUGCAAGCGUUAAUCGGAAUUACUGGGCGUAAAGCGCGCGUAGGCGGUCUUGUAAGUCGGAUGUGAAAUCCCCGGGCUCAACCUGGGAACUGCAUUCGAUACUGCUCGACUAGAGUAUGGAAGAGGGAAGGGGAAUUCCGGGUGUAGCGGUGAAAUGCGUAGAUAUCCGGAGGAACACCAGUGGCGAAGGCGCCUUCCUGGGCCAAUACUGACGCUGAGGCGCGAAAGCGUGGGGAGCAAACAGGAUUAGAUACCCUGAAUAGUCACACGCCCUAAACGAUGUCGAUUAGCCGUUGGGAUCAUUUAAGGUCUUGGUGGCGCAGCAUAACGCGAUAAAUCGACCGCCUGAGGAGUACGGCCGCAAGGUUAAAACUCAAAGGAAUUGA